UACAGAGGGUGCGAGCGUUAAUCGGAAUUACUGGGCGUAAAGCGUGCGUAGACGGUAGCGUAAGUCAGAUGUGAAAGCCCCGGGCUCAACCUGGGAAUUGCAUUUGAGACUGCUCUGCUCGGGUGCGGAAGAGGGAAGCGGAAUUUCCGGUGUAGCGGUGAAAUGCGUAGAUAUCGGAAGGAACACCAGUGGCGAAAGCGACUUCCUGGUCCGACACCGACGUUCAGGCACGAAAGCGUGGGGAGCAAACAGG
rnacentral:rRNA from 1 species